UGCCUCUCACCAUGAGAACCCAUCCAGAACCUCCAAGCUGCCAUCAGAGCGAGUGGCCCUGCUGGUCCUGGGAUCUCUGCUGGCUGCUGCUCUAGUCAUCAUCUGCAGACUCGCGUUUCAUGAGACACGGACCAAGCUGAUGGUUCAAACCCUGAAAGAGGAGAAUGAAGCUCUGAGGAAAAACCUCUCAGACAUAAAACAAGACAGCGGAUUAAAGGGCACAUCACCUCCUACAUAUUCACCACCUCCUGCAUUUCCUUCAUGCCCACCUAGUCCAUCCUGUCCACAAUGUCCUACGCCUUCAACAUGUCCACCACCUCCUGCUCCUCUGGAAUGUCCACCACCUCCUGCUCCUCUGAAAUGUCCACCACCUCCUGCUCC